rnacentral:lncRNA from 1 species
UCCUCAAGUCUAGAAAGCAUGAAGCAGGGGAGGCGUUUUGAAAGCGUAAGGACAAAAGACCAUAGGCAUGGAUGGCCGACUCUGGGGAUCAGCAUCGUAAUUUGUCGAGAAGGAGGCCGUGCUGUGCUGCCAGUUAUUAAUGGGUUUAAUCAGUUGAUACAUAGCCCUACUGGCCUAACCAGUAGCCCAAGGCCCCAGAGGAUUUGCAGGUCGUGUCAGAAUUUGAUUGCAGUUCCUUCCACUUGGCAUAAGGAGACACUAUCAGCCUGAUUGGGAGGGUGAUGGUGGGAUGGAGCCUGCCAAGGUGGCGGCGCUGAGCUGACCACACCACUGGCCAUAGAGUGGGAGCCUUUCCUGCCCCCUUAACUGCAGCUAAUAUCAAAAUCACUGGUAUGGGCUCUCUAUCUGCGCUGGAACCUGAGUUUUUCUUUGUCUGCAAUUACUAUUCUUCUGGGUUUAUUUUGCCAGCUCAUUAUCCAGCCCCCUGGAAUCAGGCCACCCAAGUUUAGCAGGUGCUGGGGAGGACCCCAGGGAGAGGCUUAUGGGGGCUACCUGGUGAAACUGCCCUUUCCUUUCUGUUCUAUUAGUGUGAUGGUGUUUGAGAAAAUAUGGGGCUAAGGUUCAGGCGCACUUCACAUGUGCAAAGAUGGAGAAAGCACUCACCUACACGUUUAGGCUCAGAAUAUUGAUUGAAACAUUUUGAAUGAUCAAAAAUAAAAUGUUAUUUUUAAAGUUUCUCUUUGAGAUUUCGCUUAAGUUUUGGCAGAUAUUCUUAAGUUUUAGUGACCUCAGUUUGGGAAUUAAGUAAGCUAAAUAUUGUGUCCUUAUUAUUAGUUAUAUAAAACUAUGCUUUAGACUUUGUUAGAAACUUUUGCCCCACCUUGACUGACUCCUUUUCCAUUUCUGGUUGUACAAAAUGAACUCAUACUUUAAAGCUGUGGCCACCUUUAAAUAAAGUACAGCGUGACACAAAAAACAAAAAACCCAAUACAAA